UCUUGGAGGCCUUGCUACCCUGAACACACCUGAUCUUGUCUGAUCUCAGAAGCUAAGCAGGGACAGGCCUGGUUAGUACUUGGAUGGGAGACCACCUAGAAAGACCAGGUGCUGUAGGUG
rfam:Pteropus alecto contig162671, whole genome shotgun sequence.